GGUGCAUGUAUAAUUAAUUUGUCAAAAAAUGAAUGUAUAUCCUAUAAGCUGUACUUGCUUUUGGAAUAAAGUAUUAUUAUAUAUAAAUAUGAUAUAUGUUAUAUUUAUAAAGUUAAUAACAUAGGGUGAUGUCACUUAUAUAUUAUUGUAUACUUUGGUUUCAUGGGAAAAUUAGACUCGUAUAUCCGUCUGAAAGAAGAAAUUUUGUGGCGUGUAUAUUUUGUGUGUAACAUUUCUGUUGUUUCUAGUUUAGCGAGAUAGAUAUGAUACGGUUAACACUAAUAUGACAGUUAUAUAGAGACAAACGUAAAUGUAUCAUGUCUUAGGCUUCAACAAAGAAAAGGAAAAAUCCUCUAGCAAGUUGUAUUCCUUUCCUGUUAAACAAUUUAACUCAAGUAGUGUGGAAAUGUCUG
rnacentral:lncRNA from 1 species